rnacentral:rRNA from 1 species
GAUGAACGCUGGCGGCGUGCCUAAUACAUGCAAGUCGAGCGAAUGGAUUAAGAGCUUGCUCUUAUGAAGUUAGCGGCGGACGGGUGAGUAACACGUGGGUAACCUGCCCAUAAGACUGGGAUAACUCCGGGAAACCGGGGCUAAUACCGGAUAACAUUUUGAACCGCAUGGUUCGAAAUUGAAAGGCGGCUUCGGCUGUCACUUAUGGAUGGACCCGCGUCGCAUUAGCUAGUUGGUAAGGUAACGGCUCACCAAGGCAACGAUGCGUAGCCGACCUGAGAGGGUGAUCGGCCACACUGGGACUGAGACACGGCCCAGACUCCUACGGGAGGCAGCAGUAGGGAAUCUUCCGCAAUGGACGAAAGUCGGACGGAGCAACGCCGCGUGGGUGAUGAAGGCUUUCGGGUCGUAAAACUCUGUUGUUAGGGAAGAACAAGUGCUAGUUGAAUAAGCUGGCACCUUGACGGUACCUAACCAGAAAGCCACGGCUAACUACGUGCCAGCCGCCGCCGUAA